rnacentral:rRNA from 1 species
AUGAAACUCUUAUGCUGGAACUGUCGCGGGAUAGGCGAUCCUGCAACAGUUCGUGAACUCCGCGACCUCGUGGAGAUUAGUUCGCCUGCUAUCUUAUGUUUAGUCGAAACUCAAUUGCAAAAAAGUCAUGUUGAAGGUCUUCGGACUAUGUUAGGUUAUGAUUUCAGUUUUGGAGUUGGUAGUACGGGGCGCAGUGGCGGCCUAUGUAUCUUUUGGAAAAACUCUUUUGAGUUUGCAAUAAAGAACUAUUCUGAGUAUCAUGUUGAUUCAUGGGUCAAAGAACCAGGGAAAGAGCAAUGGAGGUUAACGUGUUUCUAUGGAGAGGCCACUAGAAGCCUACGAUACAAGACUUGGGAUACUAUGAAGCGUUUGCGGGGUGAGAGCACUCUCCCCUGGCUGUGUAUAGGUGAUUUCAACGAGAUCUUGCGGCCGGAAGAGCAACAUGGCCCUCGUGAGCGGGACAACUCACAAAUUGAUGCCUUCAGAGAAGCGGUAGACAUAUGUGGCCUAGCGGAUCUGGGAUAUCGAGGAUUAGACUGGACUUGGGAGAAGAAGGUCGCCGGCGGUCAAUACUGUCGCGUUCGCUUGGACAGAGCCUUGGCUACACCAUGUUGGUCGAACCUUUUUCCGUUUGCUUUCCUUGAACAUCUCACGGCGGCAAAGUCAGACCACUGUCCAAUCCUAUUGGAGACUGAUCUAGCUGACACAAGUGUUCGGGCCAGCCAGAAGCGAUUUCGCUAUGAAUGCAUGUGGGAGAGGGACGAGCGCUUUGGUGACACUCUGUCUGAAGCUUGGAAUUCAACGGGCCGAGCCAGCACUGUUGUAACGCCCCCGAUUUAA